AUCGCAGUAGCAAUAUUGCGGUCAGUGGCGGACGGGAGAGUAAUGCAUGGGUAACGUACCCUGGACUCGGGGAUAACCACGGGAGCAAUCCCUUUGCGAAAGUGUGGCUAAUACCCGAUGAAAUCGCCGGAGCGCAUGCUCUGGCGAUCAACGGUGGGGACCGCAAGGCCUACUGGUCUGGGAUCGGCCCAUGUCCUAUCAGCUAGUUGGUGAGGUAACGGCCCACCAAGGCUGCGACGGGUAGC
rnacentral:rRNA from 1 species